rnacentral:rRNA from 1 species
UGCCAGACUCCUACGGGAGGCAGCAGUGAGGAAUAUUGGUCAAUGGGCGAGAGCCUGAACCAGCCAAGUCGCGUGAAGGAUGACGGCCCUACGGGUUGUAAACUUCUUUUGUCAGGGAGCAAUUGAGUCCACGUGUGGUCUUAGCGAGAGUACCUGAAGAAAAAGCAUCGGCUAACUCCGUGCCAGCAGCCGCGGUAAUACGGAGGAUGCGAGCGUUAUCCGGAUUUAUUGGGUUUAAAGGGUGCGUAGGCGGAAUAUCAAGUCAGCGGUAAAAAUUCGGGGCUCAACCCCGUCGUGCCGUUGAAACUGAUGUUCUUGAGUGGGCGAGAAGUAUGCGGAAUGCGUGGUGUAGCGGUGAAAUGCUUAGAUAUCACGAAGAACCCCGAUUGCGAAGGCAGCCUGCCGCAGCGUUACUGACGCUGAAGCUCGAAAGCGCGGGUAUCGAACAGGAUUAGAUACCCUUGUAGCG